rnacentral:rRNA from 1 species
GGGCAGCAGUAGGGAAUAUUGGACAAUGGGGGAAACCCUGAUCCAGCAACGCCGCGUGGAUGAUGAAGCUUUUUGGAGUGUAAAAUCCUGUCAGUGGGGACGAAACGUCCGGGUAGGAAAUGACCCGGGCCUGACUGUACCCGCAGAGGAAGUUCCGGCCAACUCCGUGCCAGCAGCCGCGGUAAUACGUAAGUGGCAAGCGUUGUCCGGAAUCACUGGGUGUAAAGCGCAUGUAGGCGGUUCUGUAAGUCUGGGGUGAAAUCCACGGGCCUAACCCGUGAACGGCCCUGGAAACUGCAGGACUUGAGGUUCAGAGGGGAAAGUGGAAUUUCGGGUGUAGCGGUGAAAUGCGUAGAUAUCCGAGAGAACACCAAUGGCGAAGGCAGCUUUCUGGCUGGAUCCUGACGCUGAGAUGCGAAAGCUAGGGUAGCGAACGGGAUUAGAUACCCUUGUAGUC